UACGUAGGGGGCUAGCGUUGUUCGGAUUUACUGGGCGUAAAGCGCACGUAGGCGGAUCGAUCAGUCAGGGGUGAAAUCCCAGAGCUCAACUCUGGAACUGCCUUUGAUACUGUCGAUCUGGAGUAUGGAAGAGGUGAGUGGAAUUCCGAGUGUAGAGGUGAAAUUCGUAGAUAUUCGGAGGAACACCAGUGGCGAAGGCGGCUAACUGGUCCAUAACUGACGCUGAGGUGCGAAAGCGUGGGGAGCAAACAGG
rnacentral:rRNA from 1 species